GUUGGUGAACCAGCGGAGGGAUCAUUACAGAGUUGCAAAACUCCCCAAACCAUUGUGAACCUACCCCUAAACAGUUGCUUCGGCGGCGCCCUGACAGGCCCGCCGGAGACCACUAAACUCUUGUUUUUUUAACACUGGCCUCUCUGAGUUUACUGUACUGUAAUAAGUCAAAACUUUCAACAACGGAUCUCUUGGUUCUGGCAUCGAUGAAGAACGCAGCAUCUGACUGACUGGCAGUGUAUCGAUCUCG
rnacentral:misc_RNA from 1 species